AGAACUCUCGUUAAGGAACUCGGCAAAAUGACCCCGUAACUUCGGGAGAAGGGGUGCCUCGGUAGGGUGAAUAGCCCGAGGGGGCCGCAGUGAAAAGGCCCAAGCGACUGUUUAGCAAAAACACAGGUCUGUGCGAAGCCGCAAGGCGAAGUAUACGGGCUGACGCCUGCCCGGUGCUGGAAGGUUAAGGGGAGCGGUUAGGGGGAAUACCUCCGAAGCUGUGAACCGAAGCCCCAGUAAACGGCGGCCGUAACUAUAACGGUCCUAAGGUAGCGAAAUUCCUUGUCAGGUAAAUUCUGACCCGCACGAAUGGCGUAACGACUUGGGCGCUGUCUCAACGAGAGAUCCGGUGAAAUUUUAAUACCUGUGAAGAUGCAGGUUACCCGCGACAAGACGGAAAGACCCCAUGGAGCUUUACUGCAGCUUGAUAUUGGACUUUGAUACGAUUUGUACAGGAUAGGUGGGAGCCUAGGAAGCCGGAGCGCCAGCUUCGGUGGAGGCGCCGUUGGGAUACCACCCUGAUCGUAUCGGAGUUCUAACCUGGUGCCCUGAUCGGGUACGGGGACAGUGUCAGGUGGGCAGUUUGACUGGGGCGGUCGCCUCCUAAAGAGUAACGGAGGCGCCCCAAGGUUCCCUCAGAAUGGUUGGAAAUCAUUCGAAGAGUGCAAAGGCAAAAGGGAGCUUGACUGCGAGACUGACAAGUCGAGCAGGGACGAAAGUCGGGCUUAGUGAUCCGGUGGUACCGCAUGGAAGGGCCAUCGCUCAACGGAUAAAAGCUACCCUGGGGAUAACAGGCUUAUCUCCCCCAAGAGUCCACAUCGACGGGGAGGUUUGGCACCUCGAUGUCGGCUCAUCGCAUCCUGGGGCUGAAGUAGGUCCCAAGGGUUGGGCUGUUCGCCCAUUAAAGCGG
rnacentral:rRNA from 1 species